rnacentral:rRNA from 1 species
UGCGUAGGCGGCCUAUUAAGUCAGUGGUGAAAGGUAUCAGCUUAACUGAUGACGUGCCAUUGAAACUGAUAGGCUUGAGUACAGACGAGGUAGGCGGAAUUUAUGGUGUAGCGGUGAAAUGCAUAGAUACCAUAAAGAACACCAAUUGCGAAGGCAGCUUACUAGACUGAGACUGACGCUGAGGCACGAAAGCGUGGGGAGCGAACAGGAUUAGUACCCUGGUAGUCC